rnacentral:lncRNA from 1 species
GCUGGCUGACUAGCAUAUGUGUUGUUUCCAUCAGAAGUUGGCACACUUGGCUCUCUGUUGUGUACAUUAUAUAGGUUAGCUAGACCUUGUUUCCCACAAAGGAUGUUUCUCUGUAGAACAUAUAUAUAAAUCUGGGGCCUGUGAGCUUUCAAGGAAAAGUUCCAUCUACCCUUAUUGUUAUGGUACAGAAUCAGAGGUGAUGGGUGGCCACCCAACAGAUUGCACAUUAGGAGGAAAAAGGUCCUGUCUGGAAAACUAAGAAGCCCCCUUGGAGAAGGAAGUCUCAAAGGUGCAGCAGGUUUACAGCCAUCCAGGAGGUGCCCUCAGAAAAGGGACGUGACCACAUCUCGUUUAGAGAAGUUGGCGCCCAGGAGGUUUGGUUUGCUGAAUGCGCACUAACCCCCAGUAAGACACAGAAGAGUUUUACUACUGUGAGCGAAUUGGCUUUUGCCUCCUGGAGCAAAGUGUUGGUUGUAUUGAACCUUUCUAAAUACUCCCAGGUACAAAGUCUUGGUGCUAGUGCUAGCGUGGUCUUAAAAGCCCCAUGGGGGGCUUACCCAUUAGCAGCAGAGCCUCGCACACAUACCAGAGAGUUCCCUCUCUGUUCUGUGAAGACAUUUAGAUCCUCUGCUGUGACUUACCCAAAUGACUAAAACAGCAGUUUAUUUUUUUAAUUACUGGUUGAAACAGCUAAUGCUCCCUUUUGGAACAGCUAAUGCUGCCUUUUGGAACAGCUAAUGCUGCCUUUCGGAGGCUGUGCUUUACUGCAGGGGACUGUGUUGUGACUGAGUGAAGGCCUUGCACAUCUGAGUGCCCUUUGAGGUGUGGUCUAUCUGCCUCUCGUCCAGGCAAAAACGUUAGGGACUCUAGGCUUUUCCUAGAGAAGUGGUGGGUCUCAGGUGCUCAUGGUAAGCCAGGAAACUGAGAUAAGGAGGAGUGGACCAGAAACUGCAGCUGGACUUGGUAGAAUUGGCUUGUGUGUGAUGGGCCUAAGAGGGCAAAGGAAAUUUAAUCCCAGAUACUUCUCCAACCACCCUAGGGGAAUGAAAAGCAGAAAAGAGACUUUGUAGUCAUCGGACCUGGCUGUGUGUUCCAGUUGCACUUGCAGAGUAAGUCAGUUUCACUAAGCCUUGGCUUCCUCAUUUGACAGACGGAGGAUUCUUGCCUUGCAGAGUAGUAGCAGCAAUUAAGUGAGAGAAGUACUAAAACACCUGGAGGGGUGCGUAAGCAGAGUGGUUUUCUCAACUUGCUCAUCUCUUUGUAUUUUUCUUUGAGUUUGCCAUAUCUGGUCAGAACAUCUUCUACCAAUAUUCAUGUCAAAAGGCCAAGACCUCAAGUGUAUCACUGCAGGUGUAGAGUACCACUUUUUGACCAAGAAUAAAACCUACGCUUUCCUGUGCUGGAGUGACAAAUAAGGAACCAAAUUGAUUAGCUGUCUUCUAUAUCAGUUGUCUCAUUUAGUAACCCAGCACAGUGGUGUUGUGUGUCCCUCUGUGAUAGCUUUAAAAAAUGGAAAUUCGGAGAGCUUAGGUGACUUGCCCUAAGGUCAUUCAUAGAGCUAAGUCACAGAUAUCAGGUUUGAACUCAGGUCCAGAAAUCUGAGACGGAGAUCUUGUACUGAAUCUCAAGAUUUGUUACAGAUGCUACAUUUUAAAUGAAAAUGGACUUUUAGACUCACUUGACAUACCUGUAGGGAAGAAAACCUCUAUUAUAUGGCAUAGGGAAGAGAGACAAAGCAUCUCAACCAGCUUCACUUCAUUUAGCACUUUAAGAUAGUAUUAUUUUCAAGCCUCUGAUCAAUGAGUAAGAUUUGAUAAUUGAAAUUGCUUAUAAUUAGUUCUUAAUUUAUGCUACCAAGUCUUCAUAGAAUUUUGUAUUUGGCAGCAGUGCAGAUAAUUAAGUAGUUAGUGAAACCACAUAAUAAAAUGCUAUUGCAAGCACAUGUUGGAUCAGAAUCAAUGUAAAAUAACUGAUAAUUAGGUAAUGACUCUUUGACAAUACAUAAUUGUAUAAUGAGGAAGGGUUUUACUUUUUUAUAUUUUAAUAGGCAGCUCCAAAUAUUUCACUUACAGAAUUGAUGUGCUUUUUGAUCUUGCUGAGAAAGUAGCAAUUGUCAGAAAAACAGCAAGUCAUCUUCCCCAGGUAGGUGAAUGAACCUUGUGUAAGUCUAGAGGAAAGAAAAGGCUGCCUGCCAUCUGGUGGACCCAUUCAGAGAGUGUGGCCCAGAGUCUAGAAACUAGAGCCAGGAAAUUCCCAGCUAGGGGACUUGGCUGGCUUCAGCAGCCAAUCAGCCUCUAGGGAAAUGGCCACUUGUGCUACUGCUGUCCAAAAAGAGAAGGCUCUGCAGAGAACACUGUGGAGCCAGACCCUUCCUGGGACAACUGAGGAAGCAUGGGCCUGCUCCCAUAAAUUCUGUGAUUCAAGAGAUUUGAUGUCACUUGCUAGGAAAGGGGGGUUCCCAAUCUGCUCUGGUACAGGAUUCAGGUGUGUUUGUCCCAGGAUUCCUGCAUUCAGGGGCACGUGUGGGGCUUUAUGAACCAAACUCUAGCCUAUUAUUUCUCUGAACUCUAGAUAAGUACUAAUAAGGACUUGAUUCAUUCACAAAGGGAAGUAUUUCCUCAUACUCUAUAAAGCAAGGGCUAGGCAAGCAGGGAUAGAGCUCCUGGCUGACUAAAAGGAAGUAGCUUUUAUUUGAUCCCUCUUGGUUGUUCCUAUUGGCCAUGCAAAAACAGUGUUUAUUGGAUCUUCUGAAUUUUUGCAAGAGACCAGAAAUCCAGAUUUAUGAGAAAUUUACUUAAUUGUAAAUCCUGACAGCUAAUUCAGUAUUCCUUUAAAACCUAGACCAUCAGUUUCUGACCUCUUCCACCACCAGGUGAUAGGACUGUCUAAAUAUUUACUGCCUCUACUUCCCCUAACUCUCAUUUACCUCAGCUACUCAAGUGGCUUGCUGCCUACCUGUCUGUUUUUAUAGAGUCCUUCUCACCUCUUAAGAGAGAAUCCCAAAGAUUCCAUCCAGGAUCCUUGUUUGCUCCUUGCUCCUAGCACUUCUGGCUGACUGCAUCCACUCCCAUGAUUUCAACUGCUGUUUACUCAUAGAGUCCUCAUUCCCAAAUCUAGACCUUUCCUAACUUUCAACAUGUACAUACCUAACCACCACCUACUGGACAUCUCUCCCAGGACCAUUGUAGUGUGAAACUCAACUUACUUUCUAAUUUUUUUUUUUAAAUUUUUAUUUAUUUGUGAUAGUCACAGAGAGAAAGAGAGAAUGAGGCAGAGACACAGGCAGAGGGAGAAGCAGGCUCCAUGCACCGGGAGCCCGACGUGGGAUUCGAUCCCGGGUCUCCAGGAUCGCAUCCUGGGCCAAAGGCAGGCGCCAAACCGCUGCGCCACCCAGGGAUCCCCUUCAACUUACUUUCUAAACCUGUUUUUCUCCCAUAUUCUUGGUCACCAUCCAUCUCGAGCUGUCCAGAUUAGAAAUCUGUUCCUCUCUCCCCUUCACCUCCAGUGACUAAAGUCUUUCACCUUACAAAUAUCUCCUAAAUUCAGCCCAGUCUUUCCUUCCAGACUGCCACUACUUUAGUGCUCUUCCUCAUCUCUCACCAGGACCGGAAGGGUCGCCUAAACCAUUUUUAGGGAACUUCAGAGCUGAGUAGGAGAAAGAGGUUUAGAUAGGUUUAGUGGUGGGGAGAGAGAUGAAGAGACCCAUGUUGGGAGUGAAACAGGAGCACUUUCAGAACAAGGACUGGGAUGGAAAGUAGAUCCAUAGCAACAGGUCACAUUGGUUGAGAUCAAGAGAUAUGAGGCCCUUCCUGAGAAAGCACAAGAGAAACUUUUUUCUCCCUUUAAUUGUUUCAUAGUUACAAAGGUAAUGGAUUCUCAUUAUAAGAAUUUAGAAAAUAAUAAAAAUUUAUAAUUCCACUAUUCAAAUGGAGUUAUUUUACGUUUUGUUAAUAUUUUUUAUAUGCAUACAUAUUUUUUUAAAUAGCAAAUGUAGGAUCAUAUUGUAUAUGAUUUUUUGUAAUCUUUUUCAUGUAGCAAUAUAUUGUGAUAACCUUCUGAGUAUAAGACUAAUCUCUGUGUCAGAAAACUU